AUGCGGCUGGUGGAGUCCGGGGGCGGCGCUGCGAACACAGGUGGCUCCAGGCGGCUCUCCUGCACCGGCUCCGGAUUCGCUUUCAGUAGCUACACCAUGUUCUGGUACCGGCAGCGCCCCGGGGAAGGGCUGGAAUGGGUCUCCUGGAUUAGCAGCAGUGGCGGCAGCACAGAUUACCCUGAGUCGGUGAAAGGGCGAUUCACCGUCUCCCGAGACAACGCCAAGAACCAGCUGUAUCUGCAAACGAGCCGCCUGGGGCCCGAGGACAGCGCCCGGUAUCACUGCGCUGCGAGAGGCACAGUGCGGGGAAGCCAGGCUGAGCUCUGA